UGAGCAGUCUGCCCUUCACAUCGGAAUAACCAUUGGGAACGAUGGCUAAUACCGAAUAUGACUUCGGAUCGCAUGAUCUGAAGUGGAAAGCUCCGGCGGUGAAGGAUGAGCUCGCGGCCUAUCAGCUUGUUGGUGAGGUAAUAGCUCACCAAGGCGAUGACGGGUAGCCGGCCUGAGAGGGUGACCGGCCACACUGGGACUGAGACACGGCAGA
rnacentral:rRNA from 1 species